rnacentral:lncRNA from 10 species
AAAAAAAAAGAUUGCAACCUUAUCUAUCUCACAGUUUACCUUCAUUGUUUUUUCACAAUUUGCCUAUCCUAUUUUACAUUCUUUUUCUUUUCUUAUUUUUUUUAGAGGCAGGGUCUUGCUAUAUUGCCCAGGCUGGUCUCGAACUCCUGGCCUCAAGUGAACUUCCUGCCUUGGUCUCCCAAAGUGCUAGGAUUAUAGCUGUGAGCCACAGAGGCUGGCUUUUCAUUCUUGCUGUACAUUAUUUGAUACAGGCUGUUCCUAAAAUUGCCAGAACUUUUUUUUUUUUUUUGAGACAGAGUCUUGCUCUGCUGCCCAAUCUGGAGUGCAGUGGUGUGAUCUCACUGCAACCUCCACCUCCUGCGUUCAAGUUAUUCUUCUGCCUCAGCCUCCCAAGUAACUAGGAUUACAGGCAUACACCACCACACCUGGCUAAUUUUUGUAUUUUUAGCAGAGAUGGGGUUUCACCAUGUUGUCCAGGCUGGUCUCGAACUCCCAGCCUCAAGCGAUCUGCCCGCCUCAGCCUCCCAAAGUGCUGGGAUUACAGGUGUGAGCCACUGCACCUGGCCUGCCUUGGGAACUUUUAAAGUAUGUCAGGACCCACAAGAGGAGGAUCAACUUUAAACAGGGAUGUAGAGGGACUCACCCGGUGAGGGCGGGUGGAGGAGGAGGGUCCCCACCAUCAGCCUUCACUGGGACGGGAGAUGCUGAGUGGGCUCAGGCGGCACUUAUCUGCCCCUCCCUGGGGGCCUGAGUCAGUCGGGACUUCGAAAUUUCCAGGGCCUCCCUGUAAAUCACCCUGGGUGAUUUAUACGGAGACACCCAGUCCACUAAUCUGGUAAACAGGAUCAGCAGGGCCCAGCCAGAUUUAUGGGCUGCCAGCAGGGCCUUUCACCACAGGAGGUGUGCAUGGAAUGACCCUG